UGACCAGCUCCUCGUAGGAGCCGUAGGCCUUGGGGAUGUCAUGUUUCCGCGCAAACUCCUUCGCCCGGCUCAGGUCGCGGGCCGCUACUGCCACCACCUGGAGGGCCGCCAGGCUCAGAUCAAGACCCUCCCAAGCCUCACGGAGCUCGUGUUUACAGGACAGACUUGGAGAAAGACCCCAGGAGUCCCGGGCCCCCGGCCUGCUCUUCCCCAGGACUCCGGAGGGAGGGCGGACCUGGUGCUCGGAGCGAGGCAGCGUCCGUAGCACAGUCGUGAAGUCGCUGGAGAUGAGGCCGGCAGACACGAUGCCCCAGCACAGCGCCAUCGCCGAAGCUCAAGAGUCGCAAGGCUUGGCAACCUUCGCGCAGCGGGGGAGAAGCCGACCCGGAGAACCAUGGUCAUCUGUUUGAGAUCUCACAGCCGAGAUGUGAAGACCUGCAAAUUGGCUGCUCCCAGAGACCAGGGUUUUAGGAACCAGGCUGUCCUCCUUCUGAAGAACCCUGGGGCCAGGCUGGCGUGUUCCAAACCCCUGCAUGCCACUUCUUGGCUGUACUGUUUUUCGCAAGGGGUUUCCCUCUCUGAACCUCACUUUUCUGUUAUGGAAAACAGAGGUCACCAUAGCAUUUACUUACACAGAGUUAAGAGGGUUAACUGAGCUCUGGGGUCUACUCUAAAAUAUAGUAAGUGAUUAUUCUCUAAGUCCAUUGGCAAAGGGCUGGCCAACUUCACCUACAGCACAUUCGUCCGUUUCUCUUCCCUUGUAGACAUUUAAUUAAGAUCUGAGUUUCGCACAGAGACUUCCAGGUUCCAAGCUCACACUAACUGCUGAAUAAAAAUGUGAAGGGAUUGCACAGAGGACGCCACAUCACAACUAGGAUACACAGCUACGUACUGGGGCUUUGGGGAGAAAAAAGAAAAAUUUUGUAGAGCUGCACACUAGAAAAUUUUUAAAGUGCAUGUAAAUCCGAAUAAGUGCUGGUGAAAACAGACUCAGGUCUGUACCCGAUUAAAUAAUGUAGCAAUAUCA